GUGGCGAGUGGCGGACGGGUGAGUAAUGUCUGGGAAACUGCCCGAUGGAGGGGGAUAACUACUGGAAACGGUAGCUAAUACCGCAUAACGUCGCAAGACCAAAGUGGGGGACCUUCGGGCCUCACACCAUCGGAUGUGCCCAGAUGGGAUUAGCUAGUAGGUGGGGUAAUGGCUCACCUAGGCGACGAUCCCUAGCUGGUCUGAGAGGAUGACCAGCCACACUGGAACUGAGACACGGUCCAGACUCCUACGGGAGGCAGCAGUGGGGAAUAUUGCACAAUGGGCGCAAGCCUGAUGCAGCCAUGCCGCGUGUAUGAAGAAGGCCUUCGGGUUGUAAAGUACUUUCAGCGGGGAGGAAGGCGGUGAGGUUAAUAACCUCGCCGAUUGACGUUACCCGCAGAAGAAGCACCGGCUAACUCCGUGCCAGCAGCCGCGGUAAUACGGAGGGUGCAAGCGUUAAUCGGAAUUACUGGGCGUAAAGCGCACGCAGGCGGUCUGUU
rnacentral:rRNA from 1 species